rnacentral:rRNA from 1 species
AUGCUGCCCCUGCGGUCGCCCUCCAGGCCGCCGGGUUUCCAGACAUCGCCUACACCGCCCCUGAUCUGCGACGGCCCUCUGCAGCGCACGCCCUCCCCCGUGCGAAGCCGUGCUUUACCUUGCCUUGAAGAUGUUCUGGCGCCUAUUUUUGAGGAGCGCCAGAUGGGCAUCCUUGCUCCGCCCGAGUCCCCCCCUCCCAGGCCUCCCACGGCUCGCCGGAAGACCCUUGCCGGCGUCAAGAUCUCCAACAAGGGGGGGCUCUCCCUGCAGAAAAUCAAACGCACCCAUAUGGUGCUCCCAACAGCCAAGGCGGCGAAGAAGCUAGUUUGCCGGUCCUUUGGGAUAGUCAGAGAUGGAGAAGACGUAGCAGAGGCUACACUUGCUGAUUUCACUGCCAAGUUCAAAGAGCAACUUGCUCCUGAGCUGAUUAUGGCCAUGAGGGAUUUUUUUUCACCUUGA